rnacentral:rRNA from 1 species
UUCUUUUUCCACCGGAGCUUGCUCCACCGGAAAAAGAGGAGUGGCGAACGGGUGAGUAACACGUGGGUAACCUGCCCAUCAGAAGGGGAUAACACUUGGAAACAGGUGCUAAUACCGUAUAACAAUCAAAACCGCAUGGUUUUGAUUUGAAAGGCGCUUUCGGGUGUCGCUGAUGGAUGGACCCGCGGUGCAUUAGCUAGUUGGUGAGGUAACGGCUCACCAAGGCCACGAUGCAUAGCCGACCUGAGAGGGUGA